AUGGAAGUGCCACAGUUCAACUGGUCCCCCAAGUAUGCACCUGGUAUCCCGUGGGCAUUGCACAGGACAGCAGCAGUGAGGCCAGCACCCAAGCCUGGAGCCACACAGCUCCCGUCAAGGUGGCGACAUGCCUUGGUAGGACUGAGCUACAGACCACACCUGGGCAGAGCCGCACAGACACCGACCACAUCCGUAAUCACCCAUAGGAUCUUCUAUUGCUGGAGGAAGAACUGUAAUUUAGGCUGCCUGAACUUGGCUGCAGUUCAUCACCCAUAGGAUGCAGAAGAAUCACCUGGUUGACAAGGUUCCCAUUUAUCUCCAGAUAAAAUGGUGCUUGGCUUGAGGCUGUAUACCACAGCUUGUGCUGAUACAGGAUUUUUGGAUGCUCUUGAGUUUGUGCCUGAUCCCAGGCAGAUACGCUCUGUGCUUUCAGCAUUUACAGCCUUUAUUUCUUUCCCAAGACUUAAAUAAAGUAGUUACUCUUGGC
rnacentral:lncRNA from 1 species